rnacentral:rRNA from 1 species
UACGUAUGGUGCAAGCGUUAUCCGGAUUUACUGGGUGUAAAGGGAGCGCAGGCGGCACGGCAAGCCUGAUGUGAAAGCCCGCGGCCCAACCGCGGGACUGCAUUGGGAACUACCGGGCUGGAGUGCCGGAGAGGUAGGCGGAAUCCCUAGUGUAGCGGUGAAAUGCGUAGAUAUUAGGAGGAACACCAGUGGCGAAGGCGGCCUACUGGACGGUGACUGACGCUGAGGCUCGAAAGCGUGGGGAGCAAACAGG